rnacentral:tRNA from 1 species
AAAGUUGGUAGGUUAAAAAAACCUCUACCGUUCAAUGGUAGGAAUGAUAUACAAUAUAUCUCACUUUA